rnacentral:rRNA from 1 species
UACGUAGGGUGCAAGCGUUGUCCGGAAUUAUUGGGCGUAAAGAGCUCGUAGGCGGUCUGUCGCGUCGGCUGUGAAAACCCGGGGCUCAACCCCGGGCCUGCAGUCGAUACGGGCAGACUAGAGUGCGGUAGGGGAGACUGGAAUUCCCGGUGUAGAGGUGAAAUUCGUAGAUAUCGGGAGGAACACCAGUGGUGAAGGCGGCGAUCUGGGAAGAUACUGACGCUGAGGUGCGAAAGCGUGGGAGCAACAGG